rnacentral:misc_RNA from 1 species
GAACGCACAUUGCGCCCCCUGGCAUUCCGGGGGGCAUGCCUGUUCGAGCGUCUCCGAAGAGAAGGCUCACGCGUGGAGAACGCGUGGUGGUGGCGGAGGCGGCGGCCCCGACAGGGGAGCCACCCCGCCGGAAUCGAUGGGCGGACGCCUGUCGCGAUGCCGAGCGUGAUAUGACGCAUCUGCGCUCGAGCGCGGCGAGGCUCCCAGCCCCGGGCCCAUGAGUUUGGGCGGGGAGAGCAAGACAUUGGAACUCCUCGAAUCAGGUAGGGAUACCCGCUGAACUUAAG